UGCAAGUCGAACGGCAGCACGGGAGCAAUCCUGGUGGCGAGUGGCGAACGGGUGAGUAAUAUAUCGGAACGUGCCCAGUCGUGGGGGAUAACGCAGCGAAAGCUGUGCUAAUACCGCAUACGAUCUAUGGAUGAAAGCGGGGGAUCGCAAGACCUCGCGCGAUUGGAGCGGCCGAUAUCCGAUUAGCUAGUUGGUGGGGUAAAAGCCCACCAAGGCGACGAUCUGUAGCUGGUCUGAGAGGACGACCAGCCACACUGGAACUGAGACACGGUCCAGACUCCUACGGGAGGCAGCAGUGGGGAAUUUUGGACAAUGGGCGCAAGCCUGAUCCAGCAAUGCCGCGUGCAGGAUGAAGGCCUUCGGGUUGUAAACUGCUUUUGUACGGAACGAAACGGCUCCUUCUAAUAUAAGGGGCUAAUGACGGUACCGUAAGAAUAAGCACCGGCUAACUACGUGCCAGCAGCCGCGGUAAUACGUAGGGUGCGAGCGUUAAUCGGAAUUACUGGGCGUAAAGCGUGCGCAGGCGGUUAUAUAAGACAGAUGUGAAAUCCCCGGGCUCAACCUGGGACCUGCAUUUGUGACUGUAUAGCUAGAGUACGGUAGAGGGGGAUGGAAUUCCGCGUGUAGCAGUGAAAUGCGUAGAUAUGCGGAGGAACACCGAUGGCGAAGGCAAUCCCCUGGACCUGUACUGACGCUCAUGCACGAAAGCGUGGGGAGCAAACAGGAUUAGAUACCCUGGUAGUCCA
rnacentral:rRNA from 1 species